GAUAAGGAAAUGGAGGGUAUUUGACUCCCUUUGUCAUGACUUUAUUGUGGCAUUGGCAAAUGAGUUUUUGAUCCACUGGAGGCUGGAGCUAUGUAACCCGUACCCACAAAACGAAAGCUCUGUUCACAUAUGCUGUCUUAAAAUCACUUUUGCUUGGGAAGAUCCUCCACUGUACAAGCCUAAAUUAGCUGACUGAGUAUUAGUUCAUUCAUUGUACCCAAAGAUGAUCCCUGUAAGUUACUCCCUCCGUUUCAAUUAGUUCGUCUUAACUUUUUAUUCCGUUUAAA